UCAGGAAUAUUGGACAUUGUUGGCAAGCCUGAUCCAGCCAUGCGGCCGUGUGUGAAGAAGGCCUUCGGGUUGUAAAGCACUUUCAGGGGUGAAGAAGGGCGGUGGGUGAAUACUCUGACGCUUUGACGUUAGCCCCAGAAGAAGCACCGGCUAACUCCGUGC
rnacentral:rRNA from 1 species